GUUCUUCGGGGCAGGGUGUAAUUCCCGACCGGCGGUAUAGUCCGCGAGCCUUAUGGCAUGAUCCGGUGUGAUUCCGGUACCGACAGUAGAGUCUGGAUGGAAGAAGAG
rnacentral:ncRNA from 1 species